AAGCACUGAACACUGUGCUGAGUAUACAUUAAGUAUUUAAUCAUUGUUCAUUCCAGCCACACUGUUCCCCAUAAGGCUCCUGAGGAGGCAGACAUGACUUAAGGGAAAAUGUCAGUGUCAAGUGAAUGCUAACAGUGAGCACAGGUUCCAAGGAAGGUUCAGGAUGGAGGGCCACCACAGUCCUCAGGGGUGCUGGGUCCCCUCAGUCCCGAAGUUACAGAAGGACAGAGACUGCCAUGUGCCCGGAUAGGAGGAACUGGAGUGGCUCGUCAGAACCACAGUGUUUUAGGAGAGAAGACUGGGAGUCAGAGAGGAGGCCCCUGAACACCGGGUUAAGCUUUGGAUCUGGUUGAAAAUUCCUGUGAGAGACCAUCUGGUUCUUGUGGCCCCAGAGGGCAGAGCUAUGUCUGAGGGAGGCAAAUACCAGCUCCACGGAUCAGGGUCAUUUUUGCAAUCAGAAUUUCUUCCACACCAUGGGCUGCUCCCAGAGUGAAAAGCUCUCAGGUCACAGAGGCUGUGACCCAGGAGCCCCUGGAAAGGAUGAGAAAACCAGCGCCGGGGCAAGGGUCUUGAAGAUCACCGGGAUCCCCUCUCCACGCCUGUAGGCCACUCCUGGAAGCUCUGCUGGGCUUGGAUGCUGCCGGAGACGCACGAUGACAGCUUGGGAAAAGGAGGGCCACAUCCUAGCCGAGGAGCGAGCCUCUGAGAGAGCGUGCUGUGGUCUCCAACAGCAGGGGGAAAAACACGCAGAAGUUAUAAUUAGUCAGGAAGAGGAAAGAGGAGCGGAGCGUGUGAAUCACCAGCCCCGGUGACAGACGGUUAGAGCUGAGCAGAAGUUUUGGGAGAAGCUGCUGAGGUGUGGAAGAAAAUCAUUAUGGAUGUCGAGCAUAAAUGCAAUCCUUAUGUGGUGCUGAGAGCAGAGAAUGGAAGGAAAAUACCUCCUGAGCUCGCCCACGCCUGUGUCACAGAAGAGGCA